GUUUUGAAGCAAAAAUUUUGAGUUCGAAUUCAAUCUUUUCUUCUCCUUCUCUUAUUUAGAUGUAAUGAAUGAUUCGUUUUAUCAACUGGUAUCGUUUUCGCAUUUGAUUAAAGGAGAAUUACAAUUCUGACAAACAAGUCAUCAAUGGCGAUUCUCCGAACAGAAGAACACAGCCUGUGUCAAAAGUAGCCAUCUUUUUAAAAGAAGAGAGAAACGCGCACACACAGACACACAAUUUUUUAGGGGUUGUUGGUUAUUUUUUUGUCGGAAGUCGGUUUCCGUAUGACUUGUUUGUCAGGGUUGUGAUUCUCCCUUGGUAGCGUGGAAAUGAUAGCAGUCGAUAAGAGGAUUUUCAUGCGUCUAGGUUUGAGAACGAGACGUUGAAAUUGAUCGGUGACAGCGACGGUGACCGCGACGGUUACGGCGAUGGCGCGGUGACGGCGAGAUCUUUCCCCGGGUAGAUUUGAAGAGUCGGGAGUAUCUGAAUCGCUGGCAUUGAGCCGAUUCGUAUUUUCGUGCACUCCAGCAUGCUCAGUAAGAGAUUUGAUGGAGAAGUUUAUCGCAUGCUGUUCAGAUCAUGCUGCCAGGAAAAAAAGAAAAAAAAGGAAGCCGUAGUUUUUACUCUGGUUAUCGAGGAAUUGCUUUCAUCAACGUGUUCUUUUUUUCUUCUUCUGCCAAUGCAUUUAGCCUGGCGUGCAUGGUAAGCGAUUUAACGCAGGAUUUGUAGUUGUUUUGCAUGAGAUGGAAGAAAUUACAUCAAAGAGUAACGGAUUUUUAUCCAUAAAAAAUGGUUGAUGAGCUUCUGCGACAAAAAAUUUAGUCAAGGAGAAUGGUUGUGAAGCUGGGGUAAUGCGAUAACCUGGAAGUGUUGAUAUAGUGGUUGCAAACAGUGUUGAGGUGAUGUUGAAGCAGAAUUCGGACAUUUGAACAAAAGAAAUGUGAUUUUAAAAGACGGUACGAGUGAUUUUUAGAACAGGAUCCGUCGAUGUUUAUACAACUUCAUUGAAUGUUGAAGUGCUGAUAUAAGCAUUUUUUUUUAGAGCAGGAUCAUCUAAAUACAAAAUUAUGUGUGAAACUCAGUAUGAAAGAUUCACAACUCGUGGAGUAAAAUAGAUCAGUCUAAUGACGGGAGCUUAUUUUUUAGCAGUUAUAAAGAAUAAUAAUUAGAGAAAAAAAAAUGGUGUUGGAUAUUAAACCAAAAGAAAUGCGAUUUGAAACAAUCAAUAGUGAAAAAAAAAAAAAAAUUUUGGCUAUGAUGGAGUAUUAAUUUUUAAUUUGUUUUUUUUUUCAUUUGGAAUCAUUUAGGGCUUUUGUGGAGCUGCUACCUUAUUUUAUAUUUAAAAAUAAAAAUAAAUAUAAUAUCCACAUCAAUAAAAUUUAACUUUUUUUUUUUUUUUUUCUAUUUUCUAAACAAAAACACACCUAGGAGACAAGUCGGAUGCACUUGACUAGAAUCUUGUAGAACCAAUUACUUUAUGGGGUUAGUGGAGAACAUGUAACAAUGGAACCACAAGGGUUAGUAUGAAACUCAAAAGUGAUCCCCUAAUGAAAUUGAGCAUUUGGGAGCACAAAAAUUUUGGAUUGAAUCGUUCUCUUUUGCCUCUUUCUCCUACUUAGUUUGUUUUAUCGAUUGCUAUCACACAAACAAACCUAGGAGACAAAUUGGAUGCAUUUGGCUAGAAUCUUCUAGAAUUGGUUACUUUAUAGGGUUAGUGAAGAACAUGUAUACUAUGGAUUCCCAAGGGUUAGUACCAAAUUCAAAUUAAUCCACUAAUGAAAUUGAGCUUUUGGGACCACAAAAAUUUUGGAUUGAAUUGACCUCUUUUCUCAUUCUCAUAGCUUGUUUUAUUGAUUGGUAUUGCACAAACACAUUGCAUAGGAGACAAAUUGGAUGCACUUGACUAGAAAUUUUGGAUUGAAUCAAUCUCUUCUCUCUUUCUCCUACUUAGUUCAUUUUAUAUCGACAAGUAUUGUUUUUGCCGUUGAUUAAAGGAGAAUUACAAUUUUGACGAACAGGUCAUCAUGGUGCUUUCUCCUAACAUAAACAAAAAAAACUCAAGUAGGCUCAAAGUAGCCACUUUUCAAAAUGAAGAAGAAGCACACGCACAGACACACAAGCUUUUAGGAUUGUUUGUUAUUUUUAUCGGAAGUGAGUGUCCAUAUGACACAUUUGUCAAGGUUGUGAUUCUCCUUUGUUAGUGUAAAAAUGACAGCAUUCAAUAUAAUGAUCUUCAUGUGUCUCGGUUUGACAAAGAAACAUUUGAAUUGAUUGGUGACGGCUAUGGUGACAGUGAGCUCUCUCUCCGGUUGUAAGAUUUGAAAUAGCAACCCUAAGGUUAGUAUUUAGGGUUUUUAUUUUUUAUUUUUUUUGUUUGGUUUGUGACUGUUAUUCCUAAUUGUUUGUUGAUGUCAUGAGAUUGAGAGAUCUGAUGAGUUGGGAGUUUGUGAAUCGUGGGCUUGUGAGCUGAUUCAUGCACCCCCAGCAUUUGCAGUAAGAGAUUUAAUGGAGAAAUUUAUUGCAUGCAGUUCGGAUCUGAUCUUUAUGGUGCUGUAUAGGAAGCUGUAGAUUUUAAUGUUGUUACUGAGGAAUUGUUUCAUUAUAUAUAUAUAUAUAUAUAUAUAUAUAUUCUGUCGAUACAUUUAGCAGGGUUGCAUGGUUAGUGAUUUAACACAGUCUUUGUAGUUCUUUUGCAUGAACAUAAAAGAAAAUACAUCAAAGAAUAAUGGAUUUUUACCUAUAGAAAAAGGUUGAUGAGCUUUUGCGACAAAAAAAUUUAGUCAAGGAGAAUGGGUGUGGAGCUGGGAUAAUAGCUAUAACCUAUAACGUUAAGGAAGUAUUGAUAUAUAGCAGAAAUGUGAUUAUAAAGAAUAAUACAAGUGAUUUUAGAACAGGAUCAGUUAAUGGUGAUGCAAAUUCAGUGAAUGUUGAAGUAUUGAUAUAAACAUUAUUUUUCUAUAACAAGAUCAUCUAAAUACAAAUUUAUGUGUGAAACUCAGUAUGAAGGAUUCACGACUCAUGUGGCUUAAAACAGAUCAGGUCUAUACUCUAUAACAUGAGUUUAUUUUUUGUGGUUAUUAAAAGUAAUAGUUAGAGAAAAAACAAAUAACUUUGGAUAUUAAGGCAAAUGAAAUGUGAUUUUUUACAUGAUCAAUAAUUAAAAAAAAAAUUGUCUACGGUGGAGUAUUAAUUUUUUAAUUUUUUUUUUCAUUUUAAUCUCAUUUGGGGCAUUAGUGGAGCUGCAACCAUGUUUUUAUAUUAAAAUUUUAAAAUAAUUAUAAUAUGUGCAUCAAUACAAUUUUAACUUUUUAUUUUCUAUUUGCCAAACUCAAACACACAUAGGAAACAAAAUGGAUGCACUUGACUAGAAUCUUCUAGAAUUGGUUAAUUUAUUGGGUUAGUGAAGAACAUCUCUAUGGACUCCUAGGGGUUUGUAUAAAACUCAAAGUGAUCUACUAAUGAAAUUGAGCAUUUGGUGCACAAAAAUUUUGGAUUGAAUUGAUCUCUUUCAUCUCUUUCUCCCACUUUGUUCUUUUUGUCGACUGGUAUGACACAAACACACCUAGGACUCAAAUUGGAUGCACUUGACUAUAAUGUUCAAGAACUGGUUACUUUAUAGGGUUAAUGGAGAACAUGUAUACCAUGGACUCCUAAGGGUUAUUAUAAAACUCAAAAGUGAUCCUCUAAUGAAAUUGAGCAUUUGGGGGCACAAAAAUUUUUGGAGUGAAUCAAUCUUUUCCAUCUUUUACUCCUUCUUAGUUCAUAUUUUUUUAUUAGUGUUGCACAAACACACCAAGGAGACAAAUUGGAUGCACUUGACUAGAAUUUUCUAGAACUGGUUAAUUUAUUAGGGUUAGUGGAGAACAUGUAUGCCAUGGACUCCCUAGGGUUAGCAUAAAACUCAAAGUGAUCGUCAAAUGAAAUUGGGCAUUUGGGAGCGCAAAAAUCUUGAAUUGAAUUGUUCUCUUUCUUUUACUUAGUUUGCUUUAUCAACUGGUAUUGUUUUUGCAUUUGACUAAAGGAGAAUUACAAUUUUGACAAACAGGUCAUCUCUGCAUCUUCUCUGAACAAAAAGUGUUAUCAUCAAAAUGCGACAAUUAGGAUCAUGUAGCCACUAAGGCUAACAAAAAGAACUCAAGCAGGCUCACUGUAGUCAUUUUUUAAAAAGAAUAAAAAAAACGAGAUAUACACAAGCUUUUAGCGGGGUUUGUUAUUUUUUGUUGGAAGUUGGUGUCCUUAUGACUUGUUUGUCAGGGUUGUGAUUCUUCUUUGAUAGUGUGGACAUAAUAGCAGUUGAUAAGAGGAUUUCUUCAUGUGUCUUGGUUUGAGAAUGAGACAUUUGAACUGAUCAGCAACGGGGACAGCGACAAUGACGGCGAACUCUCUCUUCAGUUGUAAGAUUUGAAAUAGCAACCCUAGGGUUAGGGUUUUAAAUUUUUUUGUUAUUUUGUUUUUUUUGCUUUAUUUGUGACUGUUAUUCCUAAUUGUUUGUUGAUAUCAUGAGAUUGAGAGAUUUGAUGAGUCGGAAGUUUCUGAGUCGCUGGCAUCGAGCUGAUUUGUGCUUUCCAGCACGGACGAAGAAACUACACCAAAGAAUAAUGGAUUUUUACCCAUGGAAAAAGAUUGACGAGCUUCUGCGACAAAAAUUUAGUCAAGUAGAAUGGUUGUGAAGCCGGGAUAAUAGCCAUCACCUAUAACGUUUGGAACUGUUGAUAGAGCAGUUGCAAACAAUGUUGAGGUGAUGUUUUAACAGAAUUCAGACGAUAUGUACAAAAGAAAUGUGAUUAUAAAGCAUAAUACAGGUCAUCCAUGGCGUCCUCUCCUAACAAAAAGAACUCAGGCAGGCUCAAAGAAUCCAUAUUUAAACCGAAGAAAAAGCACACUCACAGACACACAAGCUUUUAGGGUUGUUUGUUAUUUUUUUGUCGGAAUUUAGUGCCCAUUUGACUCGUUUGUCAGAGUUGUGAUUCUCCUUUGAUAGCAUGGAAAUGAUAGCAGUCAAUAUGAGGACUUUCAUGCGUCUUGGUUUGAGGAGGGAUUUGAAUUGAUUGGCGAUGAUGAUGGCGGUGGCGAUGGUGAGCUCUCUCUCCAGUUGUAAGAGUUGAAAUCGCAACCCUAAGUCAACAUUCCCCUAUAUGUAUGAUGUACAGAUGAAGCAAGACAGUGUUGAAACUCUUAUUGAAACAGAAAAAAAAAAGAGAGAUAUUAGUUGAUGGAAACUUAAUUUCGGGUGAAGGUACACCCCCCAUCUUCGUUCAAGAGGGAGGUCAGAGGAGUCAGAACUGGAAUGGAAGCUCUAAUGGAGUUUAAAACCCAGUGUAUUUCUUUGGCUCUAGUUCAGCUCAUGUUGAUGGGCUUACGCCGAUGACAAAUGAUUAGGUUAGGCUAUUUAAUCAUACCAAACAUGAGUUCAAAAUCACAUGGGCCUAGAAAUUUCCAAGGCUGAAUCUUUAGUGGAUUUUUGUUUGUUUGGGAAGAAGUGUACUGAAAUAGUAAUGCAGUCGAGCAUAAUUAUUGUAGAUAAACAAUUAAAAUUCCUCAGAUGCGAGUUAUCCAUUUCAAGUAAACUAUUCAUAAUUCUGUGAAAA